GGGUUAGUAGGUUGGUCAUGCCUCUGGUAUGUACUGGUCUCACUGAUUCCUCCUUCCCGAUGAACCGUAAUGCCAUUAAUUUGGUGUUGCGGGGAAUUUGGACUGUUACUUUGAAAUUAGAGUGUUUAAAGCAAGCUAACGCUUGAAUACAUUAGCAUGGAAUAAUGAAAUAGGACGUUCGAUCCUAUUUUGUUGGUUUCUAGGAUUGACGUAAUGAUUAAUAGGGAUAGUUGGG
rnacentral:rRNA from 2 species